AGUCGCGUGGUCUAAUGGUUAUGAUUUCUCGUUCACAAUUAGUGGGCUUUCUUCUACUACGGUAGUUCCGAGAAGGUUCCCGGUUCGAUCCCGGGCGCGACUA